ensembl:lncRNA
GGAAGACCAACGAGCAGACUAGGAUAAUGUGAUUUCAGUGACAACAGAUAAAAAUAAACCAGGAUCACUGCAGAAGGGUUUGUUUUUGAAUAGAAAUCCAUUUACACUGAGACAUGAAAUUAUGAACAAUUAAAAUGCCUGCUCACUUGAAUUGAAAUGAACGUUUAUAAAACUGCCAAAAUAAAGGAGUACCAGGCUUCCUGUUUCUGAAGUCACCUUUAUGCGAAUUUAAUAUAGCCACUCCAGCUUUCUUUUGGCAAGAAAAAAAUGGACUGAAUCUCAGAAACAUGAUAAAUGCUUUGACAAUGGCUUUGUACUGAAAGAGGCUCCAUGUGUUUCGUAAUGAAAUCAUUUUGCUCGUGAGAAAUACCUGUGAGGAUGACAUAGCAUGCUGCCGCUUAAAGAUGUAAAGGUAUCUAAUCUAAUAUUCUUUAUUUAUAGUUGAAGAUGAGUCACAGAGAUAAGAACUGACUCAUAUAAUACUGUAAUUCUAGCUAAAAGAAGACCAGAAUGCAGCUUUGUCCAAUUUCAGUAUACUUAUUUUUCUAAUGUUGAAAAAAUUAGACUUAUCCAAGCUUUAGUAAUACUAAAUUCUGUAAAUUGACCCAGGUACGGAGACAUAGUUAGAGAGGAAGGUAGUGGGGGAAAACAAAGGAAACUAGGAGCCCAUG